rnacentral:rRNA from 1 species
AACGUAGGUGGCAAGCGUUAUCCGGAUUUACUGGGCGUAAAGAGCGCGCAGGCGGUCGAUCAAGUCGAGUGUGAAAGCCCCCGGCUCAACUGGGGAGGGUCAUUCGAUACUGAUCGACUCGAAGGCAGGAGAGGGUAGUGGAAUUCCCGGUGUAGUGGUGAAAUGCGUAGAUAUCGGGAGGAACACCAGUGGCGAAGGCGACUACCUGGCCUGUUCUUGACGCUGAGGCGCGAAAGCUAGGGGAGCAAACGGG